rnacentral:rRNA from 1 species
CCUACGGGAGGCAGCAGUGAGGAAUAUUGGUCAAUGGGCGAGAGCCUGAACCAGCCAAGUAGCGUGAAGGAUGACUGUCCUAUGGAUUGUAAACUUCUUUUAUAAGGGAGUAAAACAAGCCACGUGUGCCUUUUUGCAUGUACUUGAUGAAUAAGGAUCGGCUAACUCCGUGCCAGCAGCCGCGGUAAUACGGAGGAUGCGAGCGUUAUCCGGAUUUAUUGGGUUUAAAGGGUGCGUAGAUGGGUUGUUAAGUCAGCGGUCAAAUCGUGGGGCUCAACCCCAUCGAGCCGUUGAAACUGGGGUUCUAGAGUGUGUGAGAGGUAUGCGGAAUGCGUGGUGUAGCGGUGAAAUGCAUAGAUAUCACGCAGAACCCCGAUUGCGAAGGCAGCAUACCGGUGCACAACUGACGCUCAGGCACGAAAGCGUGGGUAUCGAACAGGAUUAGAUACCCUAGUAGUC